GGGGCUGUAGUGUAGCUUGGAGAAAUUGAGGGCGUAUGGACCGCUGAACCCCAGUUCAAAUCUGGGCAGCCCCG
rnacentral:tRNA from 1 species